GUGGCUGUCCCUGGAGGUGGG
rnacentral:miRNA from 1 species